rnacentral:rRNA from 1 species
GCGGAGGAAAAGAAACUAACAAGGAUUCCCCUAGUAACUGCGAGUGAAGCGGGAAAAGCUCAAAUUUAAAAUCUGGUGGUUUUGCCAUCCGAGUUGUAAUCUGGAGAAGCGUUUUCUGUGCUGGACCGUGUACAAGUCUCUUGGAACAGAGCGUCAUAGAGGGUGAGAAUCCCGUCCAUGACACGGACGCCCAGUGCUAUGUGAUACGUUUUCAAAGAGUCGAGUUGUUUGGGAAUGCAGCUCAAAAUGGGUGGUAAGCUCCAUCUAAAGCUAAAUAUUGGCGAGAGACCGAUAGCGAACAAGUACCGUGAGGGAAAGAUGAAAAGCACUUUGGAAAGAGAGUUAAACAGUACGUGAAAUUGUUGAAAGGGAAACGCUUGAAGUUAGUCGCGUCUUACUUGACUCAGCCUUGCCUCGGCUUGGUGUAUUUCAUGUGAGACGGGUCAACAUCGAUUUCGACCGGCAGACAAGGGGAGUAAGAAUGUGGCACUCUUCGGAGUGUGUUAUAGCUUAUUCUCAUAUGUGUCGGUUGGGAUCGAGGACCGCAGCGCGCCCUUGUGGCCGGAGGUUCGCCUCACGUUACGCGCUUAGGAUGUUGGCAUAAUGGCUUUAAGCGACCCGUCUUGAAACACGGACCAAGGAGUCUAACAUGCUCGCGAGUGUUAGGGUGGAAAACCCUUGCGCAGAAUGAAAGUAAAAGUUGGGAACCUCCGCAAGGGGGCGCACCGACGCCCGGCCCAGAAGUUUACGGACGGUGCUGCGGUAGAGCGCGUAUGUUGGGACCCGAAAGAUGGUGAACUAUGCCUGAAUAGGGCGAAGCCAGGGGAAACCCUGUGUGGAGGCUCGUAGCGAUUCUGACGUGCAAAUCGAUCGUCAAAUUUGGGUAUAGGGGCGAAAGACUAAUCGAACCAUCUAGUAGCUGG